GCCGCUUCCACUAUUUCCGAACAAACCGUCGCCCUCGCCACCGUGGUCACCAACGUUCUCACCGCCGCUUCCUCUAAACACUAGCGCCGCCGCUUCUUCUAAACCCUAGCGCCGCCACUUCUUCUCUGUAAACCUUAGCGCCGUUUCUCUGUAAACCCUAACGCCGCUAAGUCAUCAAUCUCGAGGAAAAGAUGAACAUAAAACGUUGUCUCUA
rnacentral:lncRNA from 1 species